UGUUGAAACACCGGUUCUCAUCUAAUCACCGAAAUUAAGCAACAUCAAACCUGGUCAGUACUUAGAUGGGUGACAACUUGAGAAUAACAGGUAC